rnacentral:rRNA from 1 species
GACAGAGGGUGCAAACGUUGUUCGGAAUUACUGGGCGUAAAGCGCGUGUAGGUGGCGAGGCAAGUCGGGUGUGAAAGCCCUGGGCUCAACCCAGGAAGUGCACUCGAUACUGCCUAGCUAGAGUCCCGGAGAGGUUGGUGGAACUCUCGGUGUAGAGGUGAAAUUCGUAGAUAUCGAGAAGAACACCGGUGGCGAAGGCGGCCAACUGGACGGUGACCGACACUGAGACGCGAAAGCGUGGGGAGCAAACAGG